GACGAACGCUGGCGGCGUGCUUAACACAUGCAAGUCGAACGAUGAUGCUGGAGCUUGCUCCAGUUGAUUAGUGGCGAACGGGUGAGUAACACGUGAGCAAUCUGCCCUUGACUCUGGGAUAACUGCGGGAAACUGUAGCUAAUACCGGAUACUUUCACCGGAAGGCAUCUUUUGGUGAUGAAAGAAUUUCGGUCAGGGAUGAGCUCGCGGCCUAUCAGCUUGUUGGUGAGGUAACGGCUCACCAAGGCGACGAGGGGUAACCGGCCUGAGAGGGUGACCGGUCACACUGGGACGGAGACACGGCCCAGCAUCCUACGGGAGGCAGCAGUGGGGAAUAUUGCACAAUGGGCGCAAGCCUGAUGCAGCAACGCCGCGUGAGGGAUGAAGGCCUUCGGGUUGUAAACCUCUUUUAGCAGGGAAGAAGCGAAAGUGACGGUACCUGCAGAAAAAGCACCGGCUAACUACGUGCCAGCAGCCGCCGUAA
rnacentral:rRNA from 1 species